rnacentral:tRNA from 1 species
GCCAAUGUAGCUCAGUUGGUAGAGCAGCCCCAUGGUAAGGGGCAGGUCGCCAGUUCAAUUCUGGCCAUUGGCUCCA